GCUGAAGGAGGAGCUUGCUCUUCUGGAUGAGUUGCGAACGGGUGAGUAACGCGUAGGUAACCUGCCUGGUAGCGGGGGAUAACUAUUGGAAACGAUAGCUAAUACCGCAUAAGAGUAGAUGUUGCAUGACAUUUACUUAAAAGGUGCAAAUGCAUCACUACCAGAUGGACCUGCGUUGUAUUAGCUAGUUGGUGGGGUAACGGCUCACCAAGGCGACGAUACAUAGCCGACCUGAGAGGGUGAUCGGCCACACUGGGACUGAGACACGGCCCAGACUCCUACGGGAGGCAGCAGUAGGGAAUCUUCGGCAAUGGACGGAAGUCUGACCGAGCAACGCCGCGUGAGUGAAGAAGGUUUUCGGAUCGUAGAGCUCUGUUGUAAGAGAAGAACGAGUGUGAGAGUGGAAAGUUCACACUGUGACGGUAUCUUACCAGAAAGGGACGGCUAACUACGUGCCAGCAGCCGCGGUAAUACGUAGGUCCCGAGCGUUGUCCGGAUUUAUUGGGCGUAAAGCGAGCGCAGGCGGUUAGAUAAGUCUGAAGUUAAAGGCUGUGGCUUAACCAUAGUACGCUUUGGAAACUGUUUAACUUGAGUGCAAGAGGGGAGAGUGGAAUUCCAUGUGUAGCGGUGAAAUGCGUAGAUAUAUGGAGGAACACCGGUGGCGAAAGCGGCUCUCUGGCUUGUAACUGACGCUGAGGCUCGAAAGCGUGGGGAGCAAACAGGAUUAGAUANCCUGGUAGUCCACGCCGUAAACGAUGAGUGCUAGGUGUUAGACCCUUUCCGGGUUUAGU
rnacentral:rRNA from 1 species